AUUGAACGCUGGCGGCAGGCCUAACACAUGCAAGUCGAACGAGUGGCGGACGGGUGAGUAAUGUCUGGGAAACUGCCUGCUGGAGGGGGAUAACUAAUGGAAACGGUAGCUAAUACCGCAUACCAUCAGAUGUGCCCAGAUGGGAUUAGCUUGUGGUGGGGGUAACGGCUCACCAAGGAGACGGUCCCCAGCUGGUCUGAGAGGCUGACCAGCCACACUGGAACUGAACAACGGUCCAGAAUCCUACGGGAGGCAGCAGUGGGGAAUAUGGAACAAUGGGCGCAAGCCUGAUGCAGCCAUGCCGAGUGUAUGAAGAAGGCCUUCGGUUUGUAAAGGACUUUCAGCGGGGAGGCGUUACCCGAAGAAGAGGCACCGGCUAACUCCGUGCAAGCCGCCGCGGUAAUAC
rnacentral:rRNA from 1 species